CUGAUGAGCUUCAACACGAUAUAUUUUAUGCUGAUGUUGGUCAGAAUGGCUCCUCGUCUUCCUCUGAUCUUUCUGCUCAUGAUUCACGGGGUUUCUAGUGCUGAUUGGGGUGUGAGUUACAGUCCUUCACACAUCUGUGCACUAAAGAACUCAUCAGUGAUAAUGAACUGCACUUAUACAUACCCUACUGGAUAUCAGAUCAUGAGAGUGUUCUGGACCAAAACAGAAAAUAAAAAUGACGAAGAAGAGUAUCCAGAUCUGUCUGAGGACCCUGAAUACAGUCAGAGGCUUCAGUAUCUGGGAGAUAAACAGCAGAACUGCACCAUCAGACUGAGUCAUGUGACACUGAAGGAUGAACACAUGUACUAUUUCAGAUUCACCACUGAUAUAACAGAAGGAAAAUGGCUUGGUAAACCUGGAGUGAUU